GACGAACGCUGGCGGCGUGCUUAACACAUGCAAGUCGAACGGAAAGGCCCUGCUUUUGUGGUGUGCUCGAGUGGCGAACGGGUGAGUAACACGUGUGUAACCUGCCCUUGUCUUUGGUAUAACUUCAGGAAACUGUGGCUAAUCCCGGAUAGGAGCUCCUGCUGCAUGGUGUGGGUUGGAAAGUUUCGGCGGUUGGGGAUGGACGCGCGGCUUAUCAGCUUGUUGGUGGGGUAGUGGCUUACCAAGGCUUUGACGGGUAGCCGGCCUGAGAGGGUGACCGGCCACAUUGGGACUGAGAUACGGCCCAGACUCCUACGGGAGGCAGCAGUGGGGAAUAUUGCACAAUGGGCGGAAGCCUGAUGCAGCGACGCCGCGUGCGGGAUGACGGCCUUCGGGUUGUAAACCGCUGUCGGCUGUGACGAAGCGUGAGUGACGGUAAUGGGUAAAGAAGCACCGGCUAACUACGUG
rnacentral:rRNA from 1 species